GUGCUUGCUUCAGUAGCACAUAUACUAAAAUUGGAACGAUACAGAGAUUAGCAUGGCCCCUGUGCAAGGAUGACAUGCAAAUUCGUGAAGCGUUCCAUAUUUAA
rnacentral:snRNA from 1 species